GACGUAGGGCGCGAGCGUUUGUCCGGAUUUAUUGGGCGUAAAGAGCUCGUAGGCGGCUUGUCGCGUCGACUGUGAAAUCCCGCGGCUCAACCGCGGGUCUGCAGUCGAUACGGGCAGGCUAGAGUUCGGUAGGGGGAGACUGGAAUUCCUGGUGUAGCGGUGAAAUGCGCAGAUAUCAGGAGGAACACCGAUGGCGAAGGCAGGUCUCUGGGCCGAUACUGACGCUGAGGAGCGAAAGCGUGGGGAGCGAACAGG
rnacentral:rRNA from 1 species